AUGCUGCCUUUCAGCCCUGACAUGCCUACACAUGGCCCGGGGGAGGCUGCAGCACCGGAGCACCGGCUCCUGCAUAACUGGGGCCACCAGCCCCCCUCCAUGAACAACACUC
ensembl:snoRNA